GAGACGAACUAUUAGGUACUAAAAUAAUACCGAAUACCGUCAGCGGUUGUCGAGCAAAGGUGAGAAAACCGCUUUGAUCGUUUUUGAGCGGUUUGGAUUUAGGCGGGAGGGGGUCGAUUUUUAAUAUAUCGAUAUCUUAAUCAGGGCUAAUUAGAAGAUUAUUUUCGUCUGCAUUCGUCUGUUUUUCUAAAAUCAGAGCUAAAAUUACUAAUUUCGAAGAAAUAGAGACCUAGUUGUUGUUUAAGAUUUUAAAGACAACGGAAUGAUCACUUUUUUUGGAAACGUAAAUGGCUGCACGAAAAAUAGCACAGCAGAUAAAAUGACAAAAGUCGUGUCAACUCUGGUCGCGUCAUCUCUUUAUGGAAUCGCCAAAUACAACUCAUGCUGUUUUUAAAAGUGUUUAGCCUACAGAUGUGAAGCCAGAGCCAGCCUUAUCAUAGCCACAAGAUAUGCAAAUUUUGCUUGUGCUGGUAUUGGCGUGUCAUCAGCAGCAAUCUCAUCACUUGGAUAAACAGCUCAUCCCUCUUGAUUGGAGAAACUUUCCGAUAUCAGUGGAAUUACGGAUCUCUUCUUCCCCUUUCUUCAAGUGUCCUCGUGUACGCCCAUGUGAGUGUGGGUGUAUUCACGAGGACGCCUUUUUUUCCUAUCCCGCCUGGUGGAUUCAACUCUUCAGAGGACGGAUGGAUCACUUGUGGAUGCCUGGCCGUAUUUCCCAGGCUGUAAAGGUAGGACAAAUUCAUCUCUAUUCUUCCUUUCUGACUAUGUGGUGGCAUUGAUUAUAAAUCGUGACAGAGUACGGAGUACGAUUACUCUUGAGCUAGGCUUGUUGACUGGAAUUGUUUUCUCUCUCCGUUUUUGUUGACUC